GAUAACAUAUCAUAUGUACAGAUGUUCGAAGACGUCUUUCAGUCCUCCUACGCAACGGGAUAGAAUGAGGAUGUCCGGGAAAUCACAAUUGUCCCUGUGACUAGUAAAGAUACGAAAGAGACAGGCACGUGGAAGCCAGGACGCAUGCGUGUCGUGUUGCUCCUGCUGGACUCCGUACGACAAGUCAGUCUGCAUCUGGACUCCGGCUCGCGUAGGUUUUGUACCAGUGCGUGUACGUGACGAAAAUUAAACGGGAAUUAAACAAAAAUAAUCACGAGAAUAAUAAAUAUGACAAUAAUCACUGCCAUCCUUGUCCCGUGGACCGCAUGGAUCUUCGUUACAUUGGUGCACUCAUCCGAAGAGAUACCAAUCCGGUGAUUCGAUGCGGAAACUCGUUUGUCGAACGGAAGAUUGAGGAAACAGAGAUGCCUCCGUUCCGACGAGGUGCGAAGAAGAUCGGGGGACAUUCAGACGUAAAGGGGUAGCGCUCGAGGUGGACGAGCAAAGGAGUGCGCGCGCUCGAUUAAUCUCGCAAUCUGGAUGGAGUGGCUAUGAUAGACUCCCAUGAAUAACUCAUGAGCAGCGGGUACCUGCUUCCCAUAGGGACAUUCGCGUAUAAUUCAGCCACUUCAUUUGUCCUCAUUACUAUGCCCGAUCGUUACAUAGAGCACGAUUUACGGGGCUUCGUGCGCUCGUCCCUCCCACUCUGGGCUUUUCCCUCCUUUCGGUACACGAGGCACCUGUAUGGCUCGUCUCUGGACGAGCUUUCGCCCGGAAUCCUUUUCACGUGCACAGAUGAAAAUGCAGCCACGCUUGCCGCGUAUCUUGACAAGAGGACGCCGCACAGUAUGGAUUUGCUUUUAUGUGUCUUGCGUGCAAACUAGAUGCGCGAUACGUUAUAAAUAAAAUGAACCGUAACAUCUU